ACCAUCCCCUAGGUCUGUGUCCUGGUGGCACCAUCCCCUAGGUCUGUGUCCUGGUGGCACCAUCCCCUAGGUCUGUGUCCUGGUGGCACCAUCCCCUAGGUCUGUGUCCUGGUGGCACCAUCCCCUAGGUCUGUGUCCUGGUGGCACCAUCCCCUAGGUCUGUGUCCUGGUGGCACCAUCCCCUAGGUCUGUGUCCUGGUGGCACCAUCCCCUAGGUCUGUGUCCUGGUGGCACCAUCCCCUAGGUCUGUGUCCUGGUGGCACCAUCCCCUAGGUCUGUGUCCUGGUGGCACCAUCCCCUAGGUCUGUGUCCUGGUGGCACCAUCCCCUAGGUCUGUGUCCUGGUGGCACCAUCCCCUAGGUCUGUGUCCUGGUGGCACCAUCCCCUAGGUCUGUGUCCUGGUGGCACCAUCCCCUAGGUCUGUGUCCUGGUGGCACCAUCCCCUAGGUCUGUGUCCUGGUGGCACCAUCCCCUAGGUCUGUGUCCUGGUGGCACCAUCCCCUAGGUCUGUGUCCUGGUGGCACCAUCCCCUAGGUCUGUGUCCUGGUGGCACCAUCCCCUAGGUCUGUGUCCUGGUGGCACCAUCCCCUAGGUCUGUGUCCUGGUGGCACCAUCCCCUAGGUCUGUGUCCUGGUGGCACCA